rnacentral:sRNA from 1 species
UUUUUGAAAAGAAAGGGAAUAUUUGCCUUGUCUGCUGCCAUCUAUUUGCAAUAUUUGAAUCCGUUGAUAAGCUCGGGCCAGGAACACCCGGAGAAGCCCGUUUCCCCAAACAAAGUCUCCUGGUCCUUGUCCUCGUUCUCGUUCUCGUCCUCGUCCUCGUCGUAGCUCAUGCAUUUUCGGGGAGACCGCUGUCAUAUAUCGCAUCUCGAUAGCGAGAAUACUGGAGUGCUCUCCGCCAUCCCAGCCGAAAGCGCACGCACACGCAGGACACAGAAGAGGCCGACGAAGAGGCAGAGGCAGCAGCAGGACAUGUGGGAGGUGGAAAGUGGAAGGACACCCAACUAACGGCAUGUGCAACCCUUUUCCAUGUGUGUGUAUACAUAUACCUAUACAGAUGCAGAUACAGAUGUGUGUACCAGUCAGCUGAUACACUUAUCAGUCGUAACUCGCAACGAUGGAAAUUGCUGGGAGGGAGAGGGAGACCUGCUGCUGCUGUUGGCGCUGCUGCUGCUGGUAAUGCAAUCGGGAGAUACGCAUUCGAUACGCUCCUUUGGCGAAUCUCAAAUUACUUGCGUAGUACGGCUUCUAGCAUCUAUUCGGGGAUUGAUCACGAGUCAUGUGCCUUAAUCGGACCGACUAGCGGCGCUUAUCAGGACGGUGUACAUGCAUUUCAAGAUCAAAGUUGAAGUCCCCCCUGGAGACAGAGCUCUGUCUGGAUCUUCGACGCCACACUAGAUCUUAUCUGCCGCAGCUUGUUUGCAAUUCACACAUCGACGGCAGCGUUUAGAAGGCAACCACACCACACCCCACACCCCACACGCCCUGCCACCUGAUCCACCAAACGAUGUGCCAAAAAAUCCCAACCACUUGAACCUGAGGCUAUACCUGUACUCGUGCCCGUGCUCUCCCCGUACGUAUCGCCACCGUUCUACGUUCGUUCUGUGGCAGUGCAAAAACAACUUUUCGAGAGUAGAAAAAAUAAAGCGAAAAUGUUUUAACGCUCCGACGCAUAACGACAACAAACAAAUCGCUUCAUUUAACAAUAAAUAGCUGCCAGCGACGACGUUUCAAAAAAGCAAACACACGAAGAGAAAACAAUCGAUGGAAGAAAUGCUCAACUGAAAAAAUAAUCGCUUACUGAACACGGAAUAAUGUUUGGCAUGUGCCACGCCCAAGGUGCACAAGUGGCACUUGUUGAAGAUCGAAUGGAGUGGAUCGGAUCACACGUGCGUGUGCCCGUUCGGCAAUUAGAUUGAAAGGCCUUCCACCUCUGCUCCGGCACAUUAAUUAUGCCUGCCUGCUCCUGCUCCUUCUCCUGCUGCUUCUCCU